rnacentral:rRNA from 1 species
UACGUAGGGGGCAAGCGUUGUCCGGAAUCAUUGGGCGUAAAGCGCGUGUAGGCGGCUCGAUAAGUCUGCUGUGAAAGUCCAGGGCUCAACCCUGGGAUGCCGGUGGAUACUGUCGGGCUCGAGUCCGGAAGAGGCGAGUGGAAUUCCUGGUGUAGCGGUGAAAUGCGCAGAUAUCAGGAGGAACACCAAUGGCGAAGGCAGCUCGCUGGAACGGUACUGACGCUGAGGCGCGAAAGCGUGGGGAGCGAACAGG